rnacentral:lncRNA from 1 species
GCAGAUGUGUUUUCCAGGGAGCCCUUUGUGGUCUGGUUCCAAUCUCCCCACACUGCUGUCAAAGACUUCGUGAUUAUCCCCCUGCACACCACCCCAGAGACAUCCGUUAAGGAGAUCGAUGAGUUGGUUGAGGUCUACACGGACGUGAAACACCGCUGGAAGGCGGAGAAUUUCAUUUUCAUGGGUGACUUCAAUGCCGGCUGCAGCUACGUCCCCAAGAAGGCCUGGAAGAACAUCCGCUUGAGGACUGACCCCAGGUUUGUUUGGCUGAUCGGGGACCAAGAGGACACCACGGUGAAGAAGAGCACCAACUGUGCAUAUGACAGGCCCUGGAUGUCAGCGACCACUUUCCAGUUGAAUUUAAACUACAGUCUUCAAGGGCCUUCACCAACAGCAAAAAAUCUGUCACUCUAAGGAAGAAAACAAAGAGCAAACGCUCCUAGACCCAAGGGUCUCAUCUUAUUAACCAUUUCUUGCCUCUAAAUAAAAUGUCUCUAACAGA